UACGGAGGGUGCAAGCGUUAUCCGGAUUCACUGGGUUUAAAGGGUGCGUAGGUGGAAUGGUAAGUCAGUGGUGAAAUCUCCAAGCUUAACUUGGAAACUGCCGUUGAUACUAUCAUUCUUGAAUAUCGUGGAGGUAAGCGGAAUAUGUCAUGUAGCGGUGAAAUGCUUAGAUAUGACAUAGAACACCGAUUGCGAAGGCAGCUUGCUACACGAUCAUUGACACUGAGGCACGAAAAGCGUGGGGAUCAAACAGG
rnacentral:rRNA from 1 species